CUUGGUCAGUCCCCUCCCCCUUUCGGUUUUUUAUCUGCACACUUUGGGAAGAAGGAAACUCAGGUUCUCACAGCCGGCGGGCGGCAUCUGAAGCCUUUCGGAAGAAAGGAUCCCGCUAGACUCCCUAGCCUCCCGGACCCCACAGCCAGACUGACUCCUCAUUGGGUCUCCUCUACUUUCUGCUGCCCACCUUUUUGUUGCUGGCAGCCCUCUCUUGCUCCCACCUCUGCCCCCCAUCCCUCACUCCACCAAACGGCCACACUUCCCCUUGGUCUUUCCGGGGCUUCCCUAUGCAACUGUUUAAUUUUGUGCAAUUCCUUUGCAUUUUCCAUGAGGUAUGGUCGUGGGGAGGAUCUUUCGAGUCCCUCCAAUGAAGGCAGACCUGAGCACGGGCCCUUCGUGUGCAUGAAGCAAGCCUUCCGAUUGCAGAGGAGUCCAUCGAAUCCUAAGUGGGAAGGAAAUCUGUGCUUGGUGUACCACAGCCCCACGCAAACAGCAUGUCAAGUGCCAAUUAUAAAGAUGUUGCUUUUCUGUUACAUUGGGGGGGUGCCACAAAACAUGUAGGUAAAUUUUUAAUUGUGUUUUUUUAAAAACAUGUUUUAUCCAAGCUUCUGUUCAUCUAGUUGAAGUUAACUUUCUCCAGAAAAAUAAAAAGCCCUGCUUAAAUGAACUGGUGAAUAGAUAACUGC
rnacentral:lncRNA from 1 species